GAGAGUUCAUGAUAUAUCUAAGAAUCUAAAAUGUGCUUUAUCGAUAUAUUUGUAAGCUUUAAUCGGGUUGUCAUCAAUCACCAAAAAGGGGGAGAUUGAAAGUGCAUCUAGGCCCCUAAGUGAGUUUUGGUGAAUUGAAUGACAAAAUGAUUAAAGGACUAACUUAUUUACUUAAGAUUAUGAGCAGUGUUUUAUUCUCAUAUUUAUGAUGUAAUAUUGUCUCCUAAGUUGAAUAUGCAUUAUAUGGCUCACAAUGAAGAAAGCAAGCAAGUAUAUAAUCCUGUGAUGCAAAUGUAUGAUCAAUGACAAGCAAGAGUAAAGUGAAAUUUGGGAUAUGUAAUCAUGAUUGAUCUAUAAGUCUCAAAACCAUGUGAUAGCUUGAUUGACAAG
rnacentral:lncRNA from 1 species